rnacentral:tRNA from 1 species
ACGGCCGCUGGCACAUGGCGGGCGUCGAGGGCUCGCGCUACAUGAUCGUGCUGCGCAACCAGGGGCGCCGCACGUUCGAAGUCGUGUCGACGGUC